rnacentral:rRNA from 1 species
GACGAACGCUGGCGGCGUGCUUAACACAUGCAAGUCGAACGAGUGGCGAACGGGGGAGUAACACGUGGGUGAUCUGCCUUGCACUUCGGGAUAAGCUUGGGAAACUGGGUCUAAUACCGGAUAGUGCAAGAUGAGCGCGCGGCCUAUCAGCUUGUUGGUGGGGUAAUGGCUACCAAGGCGCGACGGGUAGCCGGCCUGAGAGGGUGUACGGCCACCUUGGGACUGAGACACGGCCCAGACUCCUACGGGAGGCAGCAGUGGGGAAUUUUGCACAAUGGGGGAAACCCUGAUGCCGCGACGCCGCGUGAUUUAGACGGCCUUCGGGUUGUAAAAAUCUUUUCUAUGGGAAGCAGUACCAUAGGAAUAAGGACCGGCUAAUUACGUGCCAGCAGCCGCGGUAAUUC